UCUGCCUGUCACAACCUUCCACGGGGUGUGUUUGAUCCUGGUAGUGUAGUUAGUGAAAUGUUGCUAUGUUUGCACAGAGGUGAGGGCCAGGAACAGAGGCAGGAGCCUGUGGCACAGGACAGUGUUUCAGGGAUAAAUAGAUCAGAAAAUGCUGCUCCAGAAUAUCCAGUAAGCAGUGGGAACAGUAGGCCUGUGUGGAAGGAAGACUAAUAGAGAGGCUUGGACAAAGUGACUGUACAGCCCUGAGACACUGAAAAUUGCAUCUUGAGCUGGCUCCUGGAAAGCCUGGAUGAGAAGGCAAUCUUGGAGCCAUGGCUGUGAUUAAGUGGCUUCCAUCUGGACUACUUCACUUGGUGCACUGGAAAGGGAAGAAAAAACAAGGGGACAACAAGUGGGGAUGUCUAAAGUUAAUAAUACACAAGAAUAGAGACAAAAUUCUACUGGGAAACAAUUUGUCCCUGUGGCUAAAAAUCUACUUUAAAGCUGGUGAUAAUCUCUUACUACCCCAGAGUGCCAGGAAGAGGGAAAAAAAGCUGGAGCUGCUCCCUGGUAUGCUGGGCAUGGUACCUUCUGCAUUGACCCCUGGCACUAAGGGCGAGAGCUUUAGAAACGGAAAAGAAUUUUUUCAAAGAGAAAACUCCCAGCAGUCACAAAGGUGAUAGGAACCUUUAUUUUGAUUAUUUUCAUU